AAUAAAAAAAAUCAAAACAUGUAAUACAUUUGUACAUAGAUUCGUUAAACUCGAAAGAGAACUCAUACUAAUAGAAAAAAGAUCAUAGAUCGCAAAAAUUCACCACCUCGAUAUAGUCUUAGAUCAGACCAGAACAAAUAUGAGAACGAAAUAUCCCAAACCAUAUAAUACACGUCUAGAUGAAUAAGGAUUGAAACUAGAAAACUUUUCCAAACAGAGAGCUUGCACAAAACCUCAAAUGACAAUCAAAUCACUAUGCUCAAUAACGAUGAAAAAAUUGAUACCAAAAAAUGUAUAACGAAGCAGAGAUGAGAUUAACAACAAAUUUACAGAAAGAAAAAUAAAAGCAACGAAAAUUACAGUUGUGCAAAAAAAAAAAAAAAAACCUUGGACCUGUAAAGUUAGGGAAAAAAAAAACUUCAAUGAAAAUACCAGCACAAUAAAUCACUAUAUAAGUAGUUGAAGAAAUCAUAAGAAAAACACUAGACAAACAGUAGCAACGAAAAGAAAAUCUUUUGCAGAUCUGGAAAAUAAAAAUUAGUACACCAAAAAAGUUACAUCUGCAGAAAAAAUGGGAAAUAUAUAAAACAACAGAUCUGAAGAAAAAAUUCCUUAGAUCUAUAGUAAAGCGUGUAAAUAGCUUUAGAUUUAUAAACGUAAAUCUAAACAAAAAAAAAGUUUUAAGCAUGGAGAAUGGGAAGUAAUGGAUGCGAUGUUCAUCAUCUCUGUUGCACGAAGAAAAAAAUUGUUUUUUCUUGGCCAGGUGAUAUGGAGUCAGGCUGUGCAAAACGGAGCUGUUAUGUUGGUGUUGCGGUUGAUGCGUCUGAGAGUAGAAGCGAGAUAAGGAGAGAAAGAAAGAGCUAUGAGAGUGGAGGCAAAAGCAGAAGAGAAAGAUAGAGAGGAGAGAAGAGAAAAAAAGUGUCAGCAGUGAGAGGGAAGACGAGAAUAAUUUAUACCCCACAUGUUAUAAUUGGUGAAAAAUAUUUUUGAGCUACCGUACGUGUGACAAACUAUACUCCACAUGUUAUAGUUGUUGAAAAUUUAUAUAUUAUUGAAUAUUAUACUUGAAAUCUAUUAAUAAUUAUUGAAUAUUAUAUUUUAUAUUAUCAAAGAAUUCUAUAUUUAUGAGGUUAUUAAUGUUAUUAUUAAUAAGACCAUUAAUAACAAAUUCUAUCUCCCACUGUAUUAUAUUCUGUUUAAUUUCCAAUUUUAUAAAUACCCAUGUUAUUGAUUAUAUAUGUUCUCACUCUUAGUAUUUUAUUAUGGCCUCAUUCAAUAAAUAUGAUUUCUAAUUUCAUUAUAUUCUACACUUUUAUUAUCAUUCAUAAAUAAAAUCCUAAUUUUAUUAUGUUUUGUUUCUUUAUAUAUUAUUUGUCAUGAAUCAGUUGGUUAUGUUCUUAUCUUGCUCUAUGACAUUUCACUGACUGCUCAUCUGUGCUAUUCCUACCGUUCAUUUAUUUCUCCUCUACUUUGUGGUAUUUUUUAUCACUUUUAUUUGAAGUAUGUUUUUUAUAUUUAUUUUGUAAUAUUUAUUUUGUUUAUUCAUAUGUCAUAUUUAGAAUAGUUAAUUUAAAGCCCCGUUUAGAGAUUUUUUUUUUUAAAUAAAUGUUUCUUUUUCUUGCUUUAAAUAUAAAUAAUUACUAUAUGGUCUAUGUUACAUCAAAUUCUGAAUAUAUUGGAUGGAUCUCAGAAAUCAAUUAAUGGGAAACUAUAUAAUUAAUUGAAUUCUGCACAGUGGCUUGCUCUGGCUAAAGAGCGGAAGCAGCUCUCAGUUGAAACCACUGCAGACCAGGAUCCACUUGUAACUAGAGGAGGUUGAGAAGUACCUUUCCGGGUUCACAAAAGUGGACGACAAUCGAUACUCAAUGAAAAUCUUUUUUGAGAUAAGGAAGCAAAAGUAUCUUGAGACAUUGGAUAAGUAAGCUUCCAAGUUUUAGGUUAUUAAUUAUCUAAUUGUCGGUUUUAUGAGAAGUGAUUGUUUGUCUUUGGAGAUUCUGUGGCAUAUAGCAUGUGAAUGAGAC